rnacentral:rRNA from 1 species
ACGGUCAUACCACAUUGGAAACACCGGUUCUCAUCCGAUCACCGAAGUUAAGCAAUGGCAGGCCUGCUCAGUACUUGGGAGGGUGACCAUUUAGGAACACCAGGUGUAUCUGUAGGCU